GGAGGUGUAGCUCAGUGGUAGAGUGUUUGUCUACCAUGCAUGAGGUCCUGGGCUCCAUCUCCA
rnacentral:tRNA from 1 species